AGCAACCCACUCCGGUAUUCUUGUCUGGAGAAUCCCAUGGACAGAGGAGCCUGGAGGGCUACAGUCCACGGGAUCGCAGAGUCCGGCAGGACUGAAGCAGCUUAGUAUGCAUGCACACGCUCAAGUUUCAUUACCAGGUGGUGGAGACUCAGUAAACAGCACCCCUCUCUAUUACUUGUCUCAACUAAGAAAGAAGAAAGUCAGCAUAAAGCACCCAUCACUUUCAUUUCUGGUGAGGCUAAUGAAGCACAAGACGAGCAAGACAUGGACAAGCAGAACUCCUAUUACAGAACUUGUCUACCCAGUCACAGAAAGGACAGGUCACCACAGUCUCCUCGCCUGGCAGCCUGUCCUUAUGGAGAAGAAUGGCUGUUCUUUACUGGAUGUUUACACCCAAGAAAAAGAGAGGAGGGGGCCAGGUCCCUAAUCCCCUAAACCACUAAUCAGAAUAGUCACCUCAGCUCCACCAGGAAAAGCCUAUCCUCACAGCCCCUCUCAUUUGCCUCAUUCAAUCUCAGCCACUAGUAGAUCCUGUCUUUAAAACGUUGAUAUUUUGUUCAUCACAAUUUUUUUCAUUAAUUUAAAACUUUUUGAAUGUUGCACUUAAAUAUUAUUUAUCUUGAUUUAUUAAGGUUUUUAGUUCCCCCUUAAGUUUUACACCUGCCUUACCCACCUCACCCUAGUCUCAGAUCCCGUUUUAAAAUAAACGUGUGAGCAAAUAAACAACUUCUUCCUUUUAAAA